CCAAACAAGCCACCCCCUUUUAUUUUAUUUUAUUUUAUUAUUCUUAUACUUAGAUUUUAACUUUAUUUUAAUUUUUCUGCUAUUUCUAUUAUUUUUAGUAUUAUUUUUUACUAUUAUUCUUACAAUUACCUUUAAUUUUAUUGGUAUCAUUGAGUUUUUUUCUUUUCUUUUUCUUUUUCGUUUUCGUUUUCGUUUUACUUUUGUUUUUGUUUUUGUUUUUAGUUGCUUUAUUUUUAUUUUAUUAGACUUAUUUCAUUUAUUAUCUUUUGAACUAUGUUUUUAUUUUUUUAUGGUUGUUUCUAAUUGAGUUGUAACCUCUUAAUCUUAUUCAUUAUUUGUGUUUAUUUUCUUCUUAGUUUGCACAGAAUCAUGCACCUCACUUUCAAUUGCCUACAAUUUCACUUUUCACCAUUCUGGCGAUUUCAUCCAAUAUUUAGGGCAGUUUCAGUUUUCUCCUACUCUUAUGAUAUUUUGCUUAUACUUUGAUUAUAUCUGUUUGUACAUUG
rnacentral:lncRNA from 1 species